CCCUCUUCCUGCCCAACUGGAGUCACAUCACCACCAUCAGUCUUGGGACCAUAGGACUAAUCUAAUUUUAUUCUUUAAUCCUAUUUAUUUCAUUAUCUCAAAAAGCCCAACAUGGAAUAGAGAUUUCAGAGCAAGAAGAGUUUUUAUUAAUGACCUGCCGACAUCAUACAGUUCAUGAAAUGCUCUGGAUGUGUACAUGCUGAUGAUACGACCUCAGACCCAGCAAGAGCUCAG
rnacentral:lncRNA from 1 species